rnacentral:lncRNA from 1 species
AAAGCAUUUCAAAAUUAAUGCCAAACAUUGCACGAUCUUUCACACAGAAGAAAGAAUUCAUCCAUCCAACCAUCUAUCCAUCCAUUCAUCCAUCCAUUCAUUCAUCCAUCCAUCAUUCAUAUGCUAGGUAAGAUCUACCAAAUGAGAGAGCUGACCAUACAUUGCCCACUUUAGAACAAAGAAUAUCAGAACUGGAAUGGGUCUUGGAACAUAGAAUGUUGGAUUUGUAGAUCAGUAUGAGAACAUAGAAUGUCAGCACUGGGAGGAACCUUAGAACAUGGAAUAGAAGAAGUGGAAUGCACCUUGGAGAAUAAAAUCUCAAUUCUGGGAGAGAUCUUACACCACAACCUUACUCAUCAGACUUAGUUCAUUAUAAGCAUUAGAGCUGGGGGAAGCUGGGUGGCUCAGUGAUUGAGAACAGAUCUACAACAACAGCCAACAGAACACCUUCUGGGAUGUUUCGCCUGCUGAUAACAAGUCAUCACAGGUCCUCUGCCGUAGCCUGCUCACAGCCACCAUGCCCCUUGCCAGAGCCCACACCUGCCACUGGAAUUCGACUGAGAUAAGGAUGCUCCAUGAUCCCCAGCCAUAUGGCAUUGCUGGGAGAAUAGUGAAGUUGACAAUGGACUUCUGAGGCAACAACCAGCUUGGAAUCAUUGAAAGUUCUGCACAGUUUCCUGGAUAUGUUCUCCCUUGAUCUCUGCCUCCUAUUCAAUUAUCAGCCCAGCUCUCCAUCUAUUCACAGUACAAGGCCAGUGAAUAGGAAGUGAUGCCCUGAUGGAGCAGGCUAUUCACACAGAAGUCAUUUCGACAUGACAGAGUGCUUCUCCCCAGAAAGUCCAGCCGCUUAACUGGGAUUGUGCAAGUUUCCGCAGGCACUCAGGCACACAAGAAAACAGGUACAAAUUGGCCUCUCUAGUAAACAGGCUUCCUGCUUUCUGGAAGAAAGUAGGUUUCACUGGGUUUCAGCCAGGGGGGUGGGGUGCUACAGCAUUAAUAGAGCUGAAUUUAGAAUCAGAGGAUUUGGGUUCAAAUUCUGACUGUCACUUAUUUCCCAGGUGAUCCUUGGCAAGUCACUUUGACCUCUUUGUACUGAGAAUCCCUUGCUGGAAAAAUAACAAGGAAUGUGGAAAGAGCUUUUGGCGAAAUAGAAAAUAUAUACAUAUAUAUUUCUGUUUAAUUUUUUUUUCUAAUGAGAAGCUAGAGGAAGAAACAGACUUCCCAUGAAAUAACAGUCUAUAUUUACAAGCAAAAACUCCCAUUAUUUGUAAUGAGGAUAACCUUACCAAUAAAACCCAGGGUGACAUGGGGAUGUCCA